CCUACGGGAGGCAGCAGUGAGGAAUAUUGGUCAAUGGACGAGAGUCUGAACCAGCCAAGUAGCGUGAAGGAUGACUGCCCUAUGGGUUGUAAACUUCUUUUAUAUGGGAAUAACAUGUUCCACGUGUGGGAUUUUGUAUGUACCAUAUGAAUAAGGACCGGCUAACUCCGUGCCAGCAGCCGCGGUAAUACGGAGGAUCCGAGCGUUAUCCGGAUUUAUUGGGUUUAAAGGGAGCGUAGGUGGAUGGUUAAGUCAGUUGUGAAAGUUUGCGGCUCAACCGUAAAAUUGCAGUUGAAACUGGCAGUCUUGAGUACAGUAGAGGUGGGCGGAAUUCGUGGUGUAGCGGUGAAAUGCUUAGAUAUCACGAAGAACUCCGAUUGCGAAGGCAGUUCACUGGACUGCAACUGACACUGAGGCUCGAAAGUGUGGGUAUCAAACAGGAUUAGAUACCCGAGUAGUC
rnacentral:rRNA from 1 species